rnacentral:rRNA from 1 species
UACGGAGGGUGCAAGCGUUAUCCGGAUUCACUGGGCUUAAAGGGUGCGUAGGUGGGCAGGUAAGUCAGUGGUGAAAUCUCCGGGCUCAACCCGGAAACUGCCAUUGAUACUACCAGUCUUGAAUAUCGUGGAGGUAAGCGGAAUAUGUCAUGUAGCGGUGAAAUGCUUAGAUAUGACAUAGAACACCAAUUGCGAAGGCAGCUUACUACCCGAAUAUUGACACUGAGGCACGAAAGCGUGGGGAUCAAACAGG